UACGUAGGGUCCGAGCGUUGUCCGGAAUUAUUGGGCGUAAAGAGCUCGUAGGCGGUUCGAUAAGUCGGGUGUGAAACCUCCAGGCUCAACCUGGAGACGCCACCCGAUACUGUCGUGACUAGAGUCCGGUAGGGGAGCGUGGAAUUCCUGGUGUAGCGGUGAAAUGCGCAGAUAUCAGGAGGAACACCAGCGGCGAAGGCGGCGCUCUGGGCCGGAACUGACGCUGAGGAGCGAAAGCGUGGGUAGCAAACAGG
rnacentral:rRNA from 1 species